rnacentral:rRNA from 1 species
GACGUAGGGCGCGAGCGUUGUCCGGAUUUAUUGGGCGUAAAGAGCUCGUAGGCGGCUUGUUGCGUCAGCUGUGAAAACCCGCAGCUCAACUGUGGGCUUGCAGCUGAUACGGGCAAACUAGAAUUCGGUAGGGGAGACUGGAAUUCCUGGUGUAGCGGUGAAAUGCGCAGAUAUCAGGAGGAACACCGGUGGCGAAGGCGGGUCUCUGGGCCGAUAUUGACGCUGAGGAGCGAAAGCGUGGGGAGCAAACAGG